GCGUCCGUAGCUCAGUUGGUUAGAGCACCACCUUGACAUGGUGGGGGUCGGUGGUUCGAGUCCACUCGGGCGCACCA
rnacentral:tRNA from 1 species